rnacentral:tRNA from 1 species
GCGGGAGCAUUGACCUGGGCAAGCCUAGGCGACGCGGGGCUGACACCACUUACCCAGGGUCUGAUACCACCCCCCCCACUCGCGGAUUCAGCUUCCCAAGCUGAGGGUUGUGGGUUCGAGUCCCAUUGCCCGCU